AACCGCGGAAAGAGAAAGUUUCUUUUGAUAUCUUAGGUUGGUGGAAGACGAACUCGACUAGGUAUCCUACUUUGGCACUAAUCGCAAGAGAUAUAUUGGCUAUACCCAUCUCUUCAGUGGCAUCCGAAUCUGCCUUUAGCACUGGGAGGCGUAUUCUCGAUCCAUAUCGAAGUUCUUUACUUCCCACAACAGUUGAGGCAUUGAUUUGUGCUCAAAAUUGGUUGAAGACGCCGAUUGAUCUUGAUAUUUCUUCCUUGGGACCAGAAGAGGAAGUUAGUUCAGAAUUUUUGGACUCUCUCUCUAAAUCCAUGUUCGUAAACAUAACAGAUGAUGAUGUUGGGGACUAAGGAGUACCAAGUCAGCAACCCUGGAAAGUCUGAAGCUAUCAGUUGAUUUUGUGGAUGCAUAGCUGGAAAGUGUCGAUGUUGUUUAGAUGUUAUGGAGACUGUGGAUGUUUAGGUAGUUAGGUGGCACUUGCUUAGUUUAUUUUUUUUAUAUGUGUUUUGGUGAAACUGAAAGAAGAUGUAAUCUACUAAUCUUUAUCUUUUGAAUUGUGUUUAAGAAUGUUAUGAAUUUGGAUUGUGUAUGGAAUAUUGGAAUGUGAAUGUCUGUAGCCUGUAGGUAGGUUUGAACUA